AUAAAUCUUUUCAAAGGUUCUUAUCAGUUUAAUAUCUGAUAUGUCCCUGAAAACGGGGACUUCAUAUUAAACCCAUUUUUGCACUCGGGAGCUGUAAUGGGAGCUUGCUCCAUUGACUCCACGCAUUAGCCCAGUAUUGCAGUGCCUCUGGGAGUAGUGCACCUCCU
ensembl:snRNA U2 U2 spliceosomal RNA